GUGGGGAAUCUUGCGCAAUGGGCGAAAGCCUGACGCAGCCAUGCCGCGUGGAUGAUGAAGGUCUUAGGAUUGUAAAAUCCUUUCACCGGUGAAGAUAAUGACUGUAGCCGGAGAAGAAGCCCCGGCUAACUUCGUGCCAGCAGCCGCGGUAAUACGAAGGGGGCUAGCGUUGCUCGGAAUUACUGGGCGUAAAGGGAGCGUAGGCGGACAGCUUAGUCAGAGGUGAAAGCCCAGGGCUCAACCUUGGAAUUGCCUUUGAUACUGGCUGUCUUGAGUUUGGGAGAGGUGAGUGGAACUCCGAGUGUAGAGGUGAAAUUCGUAGAUAUUCGGAAGAACACCAGUGGCGAAGGCGACUCACUGGCCCAAUACUGACGCUGAGGCGCGAAAGCGUGGGGAGCAAACAGGAUUAGAUACCCGAGUAGUCC
rnacentral:rRNA from 1 species